UACGUAGGCAGCGAGCGUUGUUCGGAUUUACUGGGCGUAAAGAGUGCGUAGGCGGUUUUCUAAGUUUGGUGGGAAAUCUACCGGCUUAACUGGGAGGGUGCGCCGAAGACUGGAAGGCUUGAGUAUGGGAGAGGUAAGCGGAAUUCCUGGUGUAGCGGUGAAAUGCGCAGAUAUCAGGAGGAACACCGAUGGCGAAGGCAGGUCUCUGGGCCGAUACUGACGCUGAGGAGCGAAAGCGUGGGGAGCGAACAGG
rnacentral:rRNA from 1 species